rnacentral:rRNA from 1 species
GUCCGUAGGUGGAUAAUUAAGUCAGAGGUGAAAUCCUGCAGCUCAACUGUAGAAUUGCCUUUGAUACUGGUUAUCUUGAGUCAUUAUGAAGUGGUUAGAAUGUGUAGUGUAGCGGUGAAAUGCAUAGAUAUUACACAGAAUACCGAUUGCGAAGGCAGAUCACUAAUAAUGUACUGACACUGAGGGACGAAAGCGUGGGGAGCGAACAGGAUUAGAUACCCUGGUAGUCC